AUGUGGACUUCAGCUUCACUGCUGCUGCUGCUGCUGCUGGCUGCUUCCUCGUAUGUGUUCUGUGCUACUGAGCUCAUCCAGCCAGACUCAGUGCUCAUCAGACCAGCAGAGACUCUGAUCAUCACCUGUAGAGUGUCUGGAGCUUCUAUCACUGAUGAAUACAGUCAUUAUGGAACAGCUUGGAUCAGACAACCUGCAGGAAAAACUCUGGAAUGGAUCAACAUCAUUUAUUAUAAUGAGGUUAUACACGCUAAAGAUUCACUGAAAAACAAGUUCAGUGUCUCUCGAGAAACAUCCAGCAACACAAUAACCCUACGAGGAGAGAAUCUGCAGACUGAAGACACAGCUGUGUAUUACUGCGCUCGACGAGCUCCACAGUGCUAUUCCUGCAGUCAGACACUGACUGAAUCUGAAUCAGUGGUAAUCAGACCUGGAGGAUCUCAUAAACUGACCUGUACAGCUUCUCGAUUGGACUUUGAUAGCUACUGGAUGGCCUGGAUCAGACAGGCUCCUGGAAAAGGGCUGGAAUUUGUUUCAAUUAUUGAGAGUAACAGUAAUAGAAAGUUUUAUUCCAGUGCAGUGAAUGGAAGAUUCACCACCACUAGAGACAACAGUAAGGAUCAGGUGUAUCUGCACAUGAGCAGUGUGAAGACUGAAGACACGGCUGUGUAUUACUGUGCCCGAGAGCCACAGUGA